rnacentral:rRNA from 1 species
UACGUAGGUGGCAAGCGUUAUCCGGAUUUACUGGGUGUAAAGGGCGUGUAGGCGGGUUUGCAAGUUGGAUGUGAAAUCCUCAGGCUUAACCUGAGAGGGUCAUCCAAAACUGCAGAUCUUGAGUACUGGAGAGGAUAGUGGAAUUCCUAGUGUAGCGGUAAAAUGCGUAGAUAUUAGGAGGAACACCAGUGGCGAAGGCGACUAUCUGGACAGUAACUGACGCUGAGGCGCGAAAGCGUGGGGAGGCAAACAGGAUUAGAUACCCU